GGAUGUAGCUCAGCGGUGGAGUGUAUGCAUAGCACGCACGAGAUCCUGGGUUCAAUCCCCAGUACCUCCA
rnacentral:tRNA from 1 species